rnacentral:tRNA from 1 species
UCCCUAGUGGCUCAGAUGGUAAAAGCAUCUGCUCACAAUCCGGGAGACCCAGGUUCAAUCCCUGGGUAGGGAA